GAUGAACGCUGGCGGCGUGCCUAAUACAUGCAAGUCGAGCGAACGGAUGAGAAGCUUGCUUCUCUGAUGUUAGCGGCGGACGGGUGAGUAACACGUGGAUAACCUACCUAUAAGACUGGGAUAACUUCGGGAAACCGGAGCUAAUACCGGAUAAUAUUUUGAACCGCAUGGUUCAAAAGUGAAAGACGGUCUUGCUGUCACUUAUAGAUGGAUCCGCGCUGCAUUAGCUAGUUGGUAAGGUAACGGCUUACCAAGGCAACGAUGCAUAGCCGACCUGAGAGGGUGAUCGGCCACACUGGAACUGAGACACGGUCCAGACUCCUAAGGGAGGCAGCAGUAGGGAAUCUUCCGCAAUGGGCGAAAGCCUGACGGAGCAACGCCGCGUGAGUGAUGAAGGUCUUCGGAUCGUAAAACUCUGUUAUUAGGGAAGAACAUAUGUGUAAGUAACUGUGCACAUCUUGACGGUACCUAAUCAGAAAGCCACGGCUAACUACGUG
rnacentral:rRNA from 1 species